GCCUCCUUAGCACUAAUUUUCAACUCAUUUCCACUCAUUUUAGGAACUAGUUUUACAAUGUGUGAUAUAACAAAAUACAAACUAAAUUUGUGUUUAGAAAUUCACUUUUGAAUUUUACACUUUUUUAAGCUUGUUUUCUAUAACUAAUUCUCUAUUUUUCAAGCAAAAACCAAUGGGGAAUUUGGAGAUAAACUAGUCAAAGAAGCAUGCUCCCUCCAAGAAUCUCCUAACCUUUUCAAAUCAACAAGAGAAGAUCCACCUCCUCCUUUUGCCUCCUUAGCACUUGUUUUCAUCUUCAAAAUUGUCUCUCUAAUCUCUUUCCCUUUUUCUGAUUCCAUCAACUCCUUAACUCUCUCCCCCAACUCAUUUCCACUCACAAACCCUUUUUUUGACCCAUUUAGUUCCAAAGCCACCUUCAUUUCCUCAACCAAAAUCAUUUUGUUCAACCUUUGUUCUGCAUACAAAGGCCAUGCAAUCAUAGGCACUCCUUCACAAAUAGCUUCCAACACUGAGUUCCAUCCACAGUGAGUCACGAAUCCACCAACUGAUUCGUGACUCAAUAUUGCAUCUUGUGGUGCCCAAUUUCUCACCACCAUUCCCUUUUCCUUCGUCCUCUCCAAAAACCCUUCUGGCAACAAGUCAUCCAAACUAAGUUCCUCCAAGUUUGACUCGCUCCUUACAAUCCAUAAGAAUCUUUGCUCACUUUUCUCCAAUCCAAUAGCUAUCUCAUUCAACUGAGCCUUAGAAAAUCUCCCCAUGCUUCCAAAACUCAAAAACACGACGCUUUGACUAGGUUGCGAGUCAAGCCAAAUCAAACACCCAUUUUCAUCUCCUCCAUAAGAAGAUGUAAUCAAAGGUCCAAUACAAAAAAUGGAUGGAGUUGUUCCAUCAGGAACACAUACCCCUUCAUUCAAACCUUUAAUAGCUUUUUCUUCAAUAGCAUCAAAAGUGUUCACAAUAAUCCCAGCACAUUCCCUCAUUGUUUUCGCCGAAUCAAGCAAAAUCUUGCAACCUUUACUCUCAGAAUCCUUAGCUUCAUCGGGGUAAUCGUCUGUCGAAAAGUUCUUUGGUAACCCGGGAAUUUUAAGAGGCAUAUGAAGAUCCUUGAUGGGUUUUGUAGCUUUUUGGUGAAUGGUUGGAAAGUAAAGGAAAGUGGAAAGAAUGGUAGCACCUGAAGUAUAGUAAAAGUAAGUAGGAAUUUCAAGGUUGGUGGUGACUUGUGAGGCACUAUAGGUGAGGAAAUCUAAGAUAAUACCUUUGAAGUUUGUGGUUUUGGAAAUGGAGUUGAGAAUGUUGUGAACAUGAUGGUUGCUUUUGUGUGAGACUUCAAGUGUAAGUAAGUGUGUUGGAAGUGUUGUAGAGAAUGAAAUUGGAGGAAUAUAGUGGAAAUUAAUUGACGGAAAUGUGGCUGAAACAUUGACAAUGUAUUGUUCUUGUGGGGAAAGGGUGUCUUUGUUGGUGUUUGUGUUUUUGGUGGGUGGUGUAAGAAUUAGAAUUUUAAUGGAAAACAAAGGGUGGUGAGUUAAUAUUAGUUUUCCUAAUUCAAUCAUGGACAUUAAGUGUCCACUACCUAGAGCAGGAUAUAGAACUAUAGUGUCAUUCAUGUUUGAGAAGAUGGUAGAGUGUUUUUUUUGGUUUUGUUUUGUUGAAUUUACAUGAAGAAGAUACAAGAUGUAUUUAAAGACACUGGGGGUAGGGUAAGUUGAUGGGAAUAGCAGUGUUCACAUAUGGAUUGACCUACAAAAUUCUAGUAGAAUGUAACAACGUGAAAGAAUAAAAAUCCACAGAAAAGUUGCACCGUCAAAUUAUUAACAGGAUAUAGAACUAUAGUGUCGUUCGAUUCUCUCGGAUGUUAAUUUUAAUGGGUAAGUCCAUACAGAGGUUUGCUUUGGCAUUAAACUGAGCCUCACAAACGAAUGAUAAGAUUGGUCAUCUCAAAUUGAUUGAUCCUUGGAUAAGAUCGCGAGUUUUCUAUAAAAAAAAAUGAUUGGUAGGUGAAAAAUACAAAUCAAUGUGUUAGGGUAAAUAAAGUAGUAAAUGACAGUUCGAUUAGGUAUCAUUUUAUUUUGUCAUGUCAUUUUCUUUCUUUUUGGAAGAAUACUUUUUUAAGAUCAACACUUUUUUUCCGUCAUGUAAUUUCUUUUAUGUUUAGUUAUUUGAAGUAAAUCUAAGUUUUGAAAAACUUU
rnacentral:lncRNA from 1 species